rnacentral:rRNA from 1 species
UAGGGAAUCUUCGGCAAUGGACGAAAAGUCUGACCGAGCAACGCCGCGUGAGUGAAGAAGGUUUUCGGAUCGUAAAACUCUGUUGGUAGAGAAGAACGUUGGUGAGAGUGGAAAGCUCAUCAAGUGACGGUAACUACCCUGAAAGGGACGGCUAACUACGUGCCA